rnacentral:rRNA from 1 species
UACGAAGGGGGCUAGCGUUGUUCGGAAUUACUGGGCGUAAAGGGCUCGUAGGCGGCCAACUAAGUCAGACGUGAAAUCCCUCGGCUUAACCGGGGAACUGCGUCUGAUACUGGAUGGCUUGAGUUUGGGAGAGGGAUGCGGAAUUCCAGGUGUAGCGGUGAAAUGCGUAGAUAUCUGGAGUAACACCGGUGGCGAAGGCGGCAUCCUGGACCAACACUGACGCUGAGUGAGCGAAAGCCAGGGGAGCAAACGGG